GACGAACGCUGGCGGCGUGCUUAACACAUGCAAGUCGAACGGAAAGGCCCUGCUUUUGUGGGGUGCUCGAGUGGCGAACGGGUGAGUAACACGUGAGUAACCUGCCCUUGACUUUGGGAUAACUUCAGGAAACUGGGGCUAAUACCGGAUAGGAGCUCCUGCUGCAUGGUGGGGGUUGGAAAGUUUCGGCGGUUGGGGAUGGACUCGCGGCUUAUCAGCUUGUUGGUGGGGUAGUGGCUUACCAAGGCUUUGACGGGUAGCCGGCCUGAGAGGGUGACCGGCCACAAUGGGACUGAGAUACGGACCAGACUGCUACGGGAGGCAGCAGUGGGGAAUAUUGCACAAUGGGCGGAAGCCUGAUGCAGCAACGCCGCGUGCGGGAUGACGGCCUUCGGGUUGUAAACCGCUUUCGCCUGUGACGAAGCGUGAGUGACGGUAAUGGGUAAAGAAGCACCGGCUAACUACGUG
rnacentral:rRNA from 1 species